GUUGGAAAGUAUUUCAGAAUAAAAUCAAGUCUGGAUACAGGUUCUUAUAUGAGGCAGAGGGCAUGCUUUACAGUUAAGGGUGGUAGGUCUGUCAUUGUUUGGAAUAGAGGGUAUCACGUUUUUUUUCUUCAAGGACUUUGUUUUUUGGACACAACUAUUUUUGGAUACAACAAAAAGGAAAAGUUUAUGUGAAGAUAAUAACAUAAAGUUCUAACCAGCAACAUAGUCAUUUCAGACCCAAAUAUGUUCGUGAAACUAUUUGAGGCAAGAUUGGCAAAUUGUUGGGAUUCUUGCCGCACAGCUUACUUGGAAUGUCUUCAACUAAGGACUCUGUUUUCCA